rnacentral:tRNA from 1 species
GGGUCUGUAGCUCAGCUGGUUAGAGCGCACCCCUGAUAAGGGUGAGGUCGGUAGUUCAAUUCGACAGAUCCCCACCA